GACGAACGCUGGCGGCGUGCCUAAUACAUGCAAGUUGAGCGCUGAAGGUUGGUACUUGUGCCGACUGGAUGAGCAGCGAACGGGUGAGUAACGCGUGGGGAAUCUGCCUUUGAGCGGGGGACAACAUUUGGAAACGAAUGCUAGUACCGCAUAAAACCUUUAAACACAAGUUUCAAGUUUUAAAGAUGCCAUUGCCUCACUCAUAGAUGAUCCCGCGUUGUAUUAGCUAGUUGGUGAGGUAAAGGCUAACCAAGGCGAUGAUACAUAGCCGACCUGAGAGGGUGAUCGGCCACAAUGGGACUGAGAAACGGCCCAAGCUCCUACGGGAGGCAGCAGUAGGGAAACUUCGGAAAAGGAGGAAAGUCUGACCGAGCAACGCCGCGUGAGUGAAGAAGGGUCUCGGAUCGGAAAACUCUGUUGGUAGAGAAGAAAGUUGGUGAGAGUGGAAAGCUCAUGAAGUGACGGUAACUACACAGAAAGGGACGGCUAACUACGUG
rnacentral:rRNA from 1 species